rnacentral:rRNA from 1 species
CGACCGGCGCACGGGUGAGUAACGCGUAUCCAACCUGCCCUUUACUAUGGGGCAGCCCGUCGAAAGGCGGAUUAAUACCGUAUGUUGUCAUGUUGAUGCAUAUUUUCAUGACCAAAGGCUUCGGCCGGUAAAGGAUGGGGAUGCGUCUGAUUAGCUUGCCGGCGGGGUAACGGCCCACCGGGGCGACGAUCAGUAGGGGUUCUGAGAGGAAGGUCCCCCACAUUGGAACUGAGACACGGUCCAAACUCCUACGGGAGGCAGCAG